rnacentral:lncRNA from 1 species
ACUCAAACGCAUUUAAAUUUUAAUUUUGCUACCAAACUUUAUAAUUUGUUUGAUAUGAGUCAGUCAACGACAUUUUGAUUUUAAAAUUUAAAUACGUCGUUUAUCUUUACGGAUUUAAUUAGUAUAUUUUAUUUUUCGUAGCUAUAAAAUUAUUAAAAUAAAUAAUUCAAAAAUAACUUAAAAUUUUUACACUUUUGUUUAUCAUUAUAUUAUUAUACAAAAUUUAUUACAUUGACUUUUUCUCUGUA